rnacentral:rRNA from 1 species
UACAGAGGGGGGCAAGCGUUAUUCGGAAUCAUUGGGCGUAAAGCGCGCGUAGGUGGCCUCGUAAGUCCGCUGUGAAAGUCAAAGGCUCAACCUUUGAAAGCCGGUGGAUACUGCGGGGCUAGAGUACGGAAGAGGCGAGUGGAAUUCCUGGUGUAGCGGUGAAAUGCGCAGAUAUCAGGAGGAACACCGGUGCGAAGGCGGGUCUCUGGGCCGAUAUCGACGCUGAGGAGCGAAAGCGUGGGGAGCGAACAGG